UGCCCCACCGAUAAAUGAGCCGCACCUAACAUUACACGUCACAGAAUCCCCACCGUCAACACAAUCAAUCUCAGCCGUCCGAUCCCAGAAUUCCAUUAUAAAAGAAACCUUAGGGUUCUCUAUUUUCUCUCAUUCAGCGCCUCUUCUUCUCAGCCUUAUCUUCAUAAACUCUUUUGCCAUACCUACUCUCUGCAAUUUCAGAUCUAUUCUUUUCCUUACCUCCGAUGCUUCUUUCGUCACCGGAUCGGGAUGGAUCUGAUCAAGAUCUACACGUCCAUGGUAGUUUCGGCCUGGUUCGAUCAACUUCAUGUUGGGAUUAUGCUCCGGUUAGGUUCGGUCUUACGUUAUUAGCGUCUUGAUUUGUUAUCUUCAAUUUAUAUUAUCGGCGUUUUUCAUAGAUCCGAUGCAUGGAGGCAUAGAUCUAUGCAUAGAGGUAGAUAAUCCAUGGAAUGAAAGCUGAUCCAACUAUAGAUUGAUGGAUCCAUUUGCCGAUGCUCCUUCGAUCGUUAUGUAUGGAUGCUUGUAUCGGAUGAUUUGGAUUGUUGAAGAAGCAGUGUUACUUGCUAGGCUGCAUAUGUUGCUGGUCUCAGAUGUAAAAUUAUUGUAUGAUGUGAAGCUUUCAGGUGGAAAUAUGUGGAUGUAGGAGAUUUCGGGAUGAAUGACCUCAAAACGCUGAGUCGUUUGGGGUUGGGAGUCCUGAGUGAUCUUGUCAUCCGACCUUUGCCAUGUCAGGUGCGCUUGCUUGGCAGGUCAAAUAAUUGUUAAUAAAAAAAGUUUUGUUGGUUUCGGGAGAGAUCGCACGGGAGUUGCCCGGGAUCUCUCCCUCGUGUGGUGUGUGCUGUGCUCUCUUUCGUUAUGCCUUUUAUUAUUACCUUUCUCUGUCGCUCCACUCCGUUAUACAUCUCUGCACCAGAGGGAUUCAACAGAGGAUUCGCUUCAACCAAAAGGUAUUAUUUAUCAAUUUACAAUCAAAAGGUUAGAUAUUUCAAUUCAAAUAAUUAAAGAUAAGAUAACAACCGUAUACUUGUUUUUAAAAUUUAAACAGCAUCGUUCCAGGUUCAGUAGUCAACAGAUCGAAUAAUUUGUGUCAUCUUCCGUUAAUUUGAUUUAAAAGGUUGGUAAUGUGAAUAAUGUCAAUCUGAGCUUUUUGGUAAUCUUAUAGGCAGAAGAUGCUAGGUGGAGUUCAUCAGUAGUUACAUUCUAAAAGGUAAAACGGGGUCUUUGUUUUCGAAGGUAUUUUAAUUAUGAAUUAUUUAUUUUAAGCAGUCAUUAAGCCAGUUUUCAUGAAUCAACGAUGGUACUCGAUACUAUUAACGUCGAUCCAUGCCUAUUUAAUAAUUACUUCCUCAUUAUUACUGUCUUAUCUAUAAACGUCGAUUCAUGCUUAUUUAAUAAUUACUUUCUUCCUUAUUACUGCCUUAUCGAAUAAAAUAAUGCUUUAUUGAAAUAGCGCAGCAGUACUAUUGUCAUUUUGUUAAUGUUCAUUAUUGUUUUAUUUCACUUGAGGUGGGUUAAUCUGGUGACAUCUGCUUAUAAAGAUUGAUCACAUGUAGUAUUGCCGGUUUAGUACCAUAUACUUGUAAAUUUGAUAACAUGUAAUAAGUUCAGCUUCGGCAGUCAAUAUUUGUAAUGCAGAAAUAGCUUAUUUUCAAAGCGAAUUAUUUGAGGAUUGUAGCAUUGUUAAGCUUUGCCAAUGAGAUCUUCUGGCCAACAUCGAAGUAUCCGUCUUCAAUUAAGUAAAGACGCUAUAUGGCUUCCGCUGGGGAAAUAUCACGGGGUAGGAGAAUGCGAUUAUGAUGAAAUUAUCUUGUGGAUUGCAGAAGAUUCUGAUCUAUGCUUGUAUUUUUAACGUGAAGAUGAUUUCGGCACUCUACACGGAAAGUAUAUAUUUCUUCCAAUUUAAUUUAGUUUGCAUUCAUUUUCCGAAUUGAGUUGCGAUGUUGUUAUUGUUGAUAAAUCAUGUUGUCAGUAGUACUGUUCAAAAAUUCAAUUAUUAAGUUAUUUUAAUACUACCGUUAUUUUGUUUAUGAAA